CCUACGGGAGGCAGCAGUGGGGGAUAUUGCACAAUGGGGGGAACCCUGAUGCAGCGACGCCGCGUGGGUGAAGAAGCGCCUCGGCGCGUAAAGCCCUGUCAGCAGGGAAGAAAAUGACGGUACCUGUAGCAGCAGCCCCGGCUAACUCCGUGCAAGCAGCCGCGGGAAUACGUCGGGGGCAAGCGUUCUCCGGAUUUACGGGGUGUAACGGGGGCGCAGACGGCGAUGCAAGCCAGGAGUGAAAGCCCGGGGCCCAACCCCGGGACUGCUCUUGGAACUGCGUGGCUGGAGUGCAGGAGAGGCAGGGAGAAUUCCAGGUGUAGCGGUGAAAUGCGUAGAGAUCAGGAGGAACACCGGUGGCGAAGGCGGCCUGCUGGAC
rnacentral:rRNA from 1 species